GACGAACGCUGGCGGCGUGCUUAACACAUGCAAGUCGAGCGGUAAGGCCCUUUCGGGGGUACGACGAGCGGCGAACGGGUGAGUAACACGUGGGUGACCUGCCUCUAGCUCUGGGAUAAGCCUGGGAAGGCUGGGUCUAAUACCGGAUAUGACCUCGCGGUGCAUGUUGCGGGGUGGAAAGCCUUGUGCGGCUAGGGAUGGGCCCGCGGCCUAUCAGCUUGUUGGUGGGGUGAUGGCCUACCAAGGCGACGACGGGUAGCCGGCCUGAGAGGGCGACCGGCCACACUGGGACUGAGACACGGCCCAGACUCCUACGGGAGGCAGCAGUGGGGAAGUCUUGCGCAAUGGGCGAAAGCCUGACGCAGCGACGCCGCGUGAGGGAUGACGGCCUCGGUG
rnacentral:rRNA from 1 species